rnacentral:rRNA from 1 species
UACGGAGGAUGCAAGCGUUAUCCGGAAUGAUUGGGCGUAAAGCGUCCGCAGGUGGCUAUGUAAGUCUGCUGUUAAAGAGUGAGGCUCAACCUCAUAAAAGCAGUGGAAACUACAUGGCUAGAGUGCGUUCGGGGCAGAGGGAAUUCCUGGUGUAGCGGUGAAAUGCGUAGAGAUCAGGAAGAACACCGGUGGCGAAAGCGCUCUGCUAGGCCGCAACUGACACUGAGGGACGAAAGCUAGGGGAGCAAACGGG